rnacentral:lncRNA from 1 species
UGCUAGUGGGAUAAUGGCAGCAAUUUUUCAAUGUUAUUUCAUUUUUGCAGUAAUGGGUGUGCAACUAUUUCAGGGGCAGUUUAACUAUUGUACAGAUGAAUCAAAAAUAAAAGAAAAAGAUUGCAGGGAAUUUUUUAUUUCAUUUGAUGAAUCAAA